ACCCAUUUCAACAUAGCCAUUAACUGGCCCACACCAUAACCCUCAUCUCCGCCAACACCUAAUCACUCAACAAUAUUCAGCGUCCCCGUGCCUGUACGUCGUCAACCGGGCCCAUUAGCUACUCCCACCAACGUCCCUCCCCCACGCCGACGACACCACUCUCCAGCACCACCGACAUCAGUGGUGCAUCUCUCACUCGCCGCUACUAACACCUCUCUGCCACUUCGACAACAGCACACCCGGUCUCCAACUUCAUCUCUUUCCAGGCACCGUUGCCGCUCCUACUGUCGCUCCCGCCUCACCCGUCGCCACCGGCAGAACCUCACCAUCAAUUGGACACAACCCAUAACUCCAAACAUUUUCCAGUUCGAGCCUCUUUCUUUAUGUCUGCUUAAACUGCUGCGACACCACACUUAUAAUAUCCAAUACACAAUCAUCAGCUUGUCAUCAGAUUUUACUGCUUGCUAUGCAUUGAAUUUGCGGCUGACAAUACCGAUUAAAAUUCUGGAAAUGGGACGAGAGAAGCAAUUUAUUGAACUGAUUAUUGAAGCCGUCCAUAUGUGUGAAUUGGAACAGGAAAAUAGAUUGUACCACCACCGGUUGGACUGAGGUCUCAUGAGUACGCGCCAACAACUUCAAGCUUCCGUGGGCACCGCCUCUACAAUCGGACAAUGAGUCCUUGUACGCUGUUUAAUAUAAUCACUCCGUGGGAAGAGGCUAUACAAACAAAAUACAAGGGCUUACAGGAAUGUACAUCUGUAAGAGGUAUUUUGGGCUUAUUCAGUAUGCUUGAAAAGUCAUAAAUCUUAUCAUAUUCUAUUAUGAGAAUGACAUUUUCUAAAUGCCUAACUUCAUUAGCCGCCCUGGGCAAUUUUUAGCCAUGCAUUCUGCUGAUUUGGAUCUUUCUGUAAGUCUAGCAAUGAGCCUGAUGAACUGGUGAAAGGGAUUCCAUAUAGUCGAUCCGAAUUAUUGAGAAUAAGGUUUAAUUUAUUGUUUUGUUUUUGUCUUCUUGAGCUUUCUAAACACAUUGAGACUGCUAAAUAUCUUUUGUUGUCUUGAAUUUACUGCUUCAAUAGUUGCAUA